GGCAGCACGGGAGCAAUCCUGGUGGCGAGUGGCGAACGGGUGAGUAAUAUAUCGGAACGUGCCCAGUCGUGGGGGAUAACGCAGCGAAAGCUGUGCUAAUACCGCAUACGAUCUACGGAUGAAAGCGGGGGAUCGCAAGACCUCGCGCGAUUGGAGCGGCCGAUAUCAGAUUAGCUAGUUGGUGGGGUAAAGGCCCACCAAGGCGACGAUCUGUAGCUGGUCUGAGAGGACGACCAGCCACACUGGAACUGAGACACGGUCCAGACUCCUACGGGAGGCAGCAGUGGGGAAUUUUGGACAAUGGGCGCAAGCCUGAUCCAGCAAUGCCGCGUGCAGGAUGAAGGCCUUCGGGUUGUAAACUGCUUUUGUACGGAACGAAACGGUGAGCUCUAAUAAAGUUUGCUAAUGACGGUACCGUAAGAAUAAGCACCGGCUAACUACGUGCCAGCAGCCGCGGUAAUACGUAGGGUGCGAGCGUUAAUCGGAAUUACUGGGCGUAAAGCGUGCGCAGGCGGUUAUAUAAGACAGAUGUGAAAUCCCCGGGCUCAACCUGGGACCUGCAUUUGUGACUGUAUAGCUAGAGUACGGUAGAGGGGGAUGGAAUUCCGCGUGUAGCAGUGAAAUGCGUAGAUAUGCGGAGGAACACCGAUGGCGAAGGCAAUCCCCUGGACCUGUACUGACGCUCAUGCACGAAAGCGUGGGGAGCAAACAGGAUUAGAUACCCUGGUAGUCCACGCCCUAAACGAUGUCAACUGGUUGUUGGGUCUUCNCUGACUCAGUAACGAANCUANCGCGUGAAGUUGACCGCCUGGGGANUACGGCCGCAGGUUGAACUCAAGGAAUUGACGGGGA
rnacentral:rRNA from 1 species